ensembl:lncRNA
GGCCAAUCAGAACACGGGGGUGUGUGUGGUUGGGCGUGGCCUGUCUGUGUUGCUGUGAAAAUGUCGAUGGACAGGGUUUUUGUUUUUUCCAUUAAAGCGAGGCAGCACGGUGGAUUUCAUAAUAACUGGUGGCUCGGUGGGAGGUAAUGGCAGCGGUGACGAGGUGGCAAAGAGACCGGACGUGUUGCGAAAGACGCGCGCCGGGGCAGCGGAGGAGGGUGGGAUGGAGAGGUGUUCCUGCAGGAGGAUGUUGCGCACUUCAAUUUACCUCAGGAGACCUGACGGGGAUGAAGCUCUUCUUUUUUGUCAUGCAGUGCUGGAACACGUGCCGACCCAUCCGCAGUCUUCUGAGGGCUUACUGGAAACAAGUCCUGUGAAAUGAAGCCGUGGGCUCCAGUGGGGAAGUAGAACAUAACACGUUUCAGGUGCUAGAAGGAAGAACAUUUACAGCCAUUUGAAAAGCCAGAUGAAGAUCUAGAUGUGUUGGUGAGUCAUCACUAACUUUGUUUACCUUUUUGCUAACUCAGGAACAGAAAAGGUGUUUUCCUCCCAUCUCCCCACAGCCCCUUCAGCCGGAUUUACAUGACACAUGAUGCAUCAUCCAAUCAGGGUAUGUGGACAAUCAGAUAAGAAGCAAAGACUCCAGGUCUUAAAAUACACUCUGCCAAUGUUUGACUGAACCAAACCAGACUAUUUAUAAGACAGUCUUCUUUUUUUAAAGGAACCGCUACAUUCCUGGUGAACCUUCAAUACAACACACUAGGUAGAACAAAUGUCUUCUUUUAAUCUUCUUGUCAUUCCACAAGAUUCAUUAUUGGGUUAACUGGAUGUAUUAUUUGGAACAGAAACGGGAUCAAGCGGCAUUCUUUUGAGCAGAGCUACAGCGCGAAGCACCACGAACGGAAAGAGGAAGUACAUUUGCGGUAGGCCUCUUCGUGGUAAAACUGCCAACCUACAUGUGGGCAUUAGGAAAGCGUCACGUUAGGACCUAAACGGAGCACCUCGUGCUUAUCGCCCUUGUUGCGGACGGCGAGACAAGUGGCAUCCCUCAUUAGAACGCCGCCCGGUGGUGCUUAUGCAACCGAUCCACCGGGGCGAUGUGCCUUUAAAAGCAGUUGGCUGUCAGGUGAUCGAGGAGGCUCCGUCAGCUCAGCCUCACGGGCAGACGAGCCAGUGCGUCUCUAGCCGAGAGGAGUGCGCCAG